AGGCCCCUCCCUCCCAGCCACAGCGCCUGCUCACCCCUGCCACGUCAAAGGAGGCAGAAGGGGAGCCGAGAGCAGAGAGGGGACGU
rfam:Myotis lucifugus cont2.46822, whole genome shotgun sequence.